GGGCCGUUAGCUCAUCCGGUAGAGCGCUACUAUGGCAUAGUAGAGGUGAGGAGUUCGAGUCUCCUACGGUCCACCA
rnacentral:tRNA from 1 species